AUUGAACGCUGGCGGCCGGCCUAACACAUGCAAGUCGAACGAGUGGCGGACGGGUGAGUAGUGUAUGGGCACCUGCCUGAUGGAGGCGGCUAACUACUGGAAACGGUAGCUACUACCGCAUACCAUCGGAUGUGCCCAGAUGGGAUUAGCUAGUCGGUGGGGUAACGGCUCACCUAGGCGACGCUCCCUACCUGGUCUGAGAGGAUGACCAGCAACACUGGAACUGAGACACGGUCAAGAAUCCUACGGGAGGAAGCAGUGGGGAAGAUUGAACAAGGGGCGAAAGUCUGAGGAAGCAAUGCCGCGUGUAUGAAGAAGGCCUUCGGGUUGUAAAGUACUGUCAUCGAGGAGGCGGUACUCGAAGAAGAAGCACCGGCUAACUACGUGCCAGCAGCCGCGGUAAUUC
rnacentral:rRNA from 1 species